UUUUAUUAGGAUGGUGCAAAAUUAAUUGUGGUUCUUGUCACUGAAAGCAAUGGCAAAAACCACAAUUGCGUUUGUACCAACCUAAUCAA
rnacentral:miRNA from 10 species